AGUUCUUCAGUUCGGCUGGACCGGAGACAGGUGCUGCAUGGCUGUCGUCAGCUCGUGUCGUGAGAUGUUGGGUUAAGUCCCGCAACGAGCGCAACCCCCGUCCUUAGUUGCUACCAUUUAGUUGAGCACUCUAGGGAGACUGCCGGUGAUAAGCCGCGAGGAAGGUGGGGAUGACGUCAAGUCCUCAUGGCCCUUACGGGCUGGGCUACACACGUGCUACAAUGGCGGUGACAGUGGGACGCUAAGGGGCAACCCUUCGCAAAU
rnacentral:rRNA from 1 species